rnacentral:rRNA from 1 species
CCUACGGGCGGCAGCAGUGGGGAAUAUUGCACAAUGGGGGAAACCCUGAUGCAGCGACGCCGCGUGAGUGAAGAAGUAAUUCGUUAUGUAAAGCUCUAUCAGCAGGGAAGAAAAUGACGGUACCUGAUUACGAAGCCCCGGCUAACUACGUGCCAGCAGCAGCGGCAAUACGUAGGGGGCAAGCGUUAUCCGGAUUUACUGGGUGUAAAGGGAGCGUAGACGGCAGUGCAAGUCUGGAGUGAAAGGCGGGGGCUCAACCCCCGGACGGCUCUGGAAACUGUACGGCUGGAGUGCAGGAGAGGUAAGUGGAAUUCCUAGUGUAGCGGUGAAAUGCGUAGAUAUUAGGAGGAACACCAGUGGCGAAGGCGGCUUACUGGACUGUAACUGACGUUGAGGCUCGAAAGCGUGGGGAGCAAACAGGAUUAGAUACCCCGGUAGUC